AUUGAACGCUGGCGGAAUGCUUUACACAUGCAAGUCGAACGGCAGCACGGACUUCGGUCUGGUGGCGAGUGGCGAACGGGUGAGUAAUGUAUCGGAACGUGCCAAGUCGUGGGGGAUAACGUAGUGAAAAUUACGCUAAUACCGCAUACGAUCUAUGGAUGAAAGCGGGGGAGCGCAAGACCCCGCGCGACUGGAGGGGCACAUAUCAGAUUAGGUUGUUGGUGGGGUAAAGGCCCACAAAGCCAACGAUCUGUAGCUGGCUGGAGAGGACGACCAGCCACACUGGAACUGAGACACGGUCCAGACUCCUACGGGAGGCAGCAGUGGGGAAUUUUGGACAAUGGGCGAAAGCCUGAUCCAGCCAUUCCGCGUGCAGGAUGAAGGCCCUCGGGUUGUAAACUGCUUUUGUACAGAACGAAAAGGUUUCUACUAAUACUAGGAGCUCAUGACGGUACUGUAAGAAUAAGCACCGGCUAACUACGUGCCAGCAGCCGCCGCCG
rnacentral:rRNA from 1 species